AGUUGGCAUAGCUGUAAAUUGUGAAGAUGGAACUUGAACUUGCUUCUCUGUGCUCUUUAUUCUAUUCCACACAGGCCUAUGAGUUCAGUUUUUCAUUUACCCAUGUUAUUUACUUUUAUUAGAUCCCCAUGUGGUUGUCAUCAAAUCUGAGCUCCUCACCAUGAACCAACUGCCCUCCCCUGACUCAUGUUUGAUGCAGUGACCGAUGGUGAGAAAGAGGCAAGAAUGUAUAUGAUUCAGUUCAGCAGAUGAGUGUCAACAACGUGCUGAAUAAAGAAAAGUGUCUUCACUCUACUGCAGUAUCUCUUUUGCCAGCACACACUGAGGAAAGGUAUGAGAGCUCCUGGGCCUGAGGGUCAUUUGAAGGUCAUUGAGGCACACAACCCUUGGGUCAAGGGUCCUCUCUUCCCAGCCCAUCACCUCACCCAGCCACUGGGGAGUUGAGCCAGCCCAGAUUCAGAAAAGGCAAAAGAAAGUGCUACAGACAAUGUUCGUGUCCCCCGAAAUUCAUAUGUUGAUAUCUAAUCUCCAAUAUGAGGCUAUUUGGAGAUGUCGCCUUUGGGAAGUGAUUAGGUCAUGAGGGUGGGACCUUCAUGAAUGGGAUUAGUGCCCUUAUAAAAGAGAUCCCAGAGAGCUCCCUCUCUCCUUUCACCAUGUGAGGACGCAGCAAGAAGACAGCAUUUAUGAACCAGGAAGCAGACUCUCACCAGACACGGGAUCUGCAGGUGCCUUGAUCUUGGACUUCCCAGCUUUAAUAACUGUGAGAAAUGGAUGUCUGUUAUUUGUAAGCCACCCAGUCUAUGGUAUUUUGUUAUAGCAGCCCCAAUGGACUAAGAAGGAAAGUAUAGCUCGUGUGAGUAGCACAAUAGCAAAUUAGAAUUGCCUUAUGUAAAUACCUAUGCCUUACAAGAAGUGUUUUUUGUUUUUGUUUUUUGCUCUUUUGUCACUCACCUGGAGAAUGUCACUUACCUGUAAAUAUUCUACUGAUGAGGGGAAACUUUCCUUCCCUAUCCUUGUGUCUGGCAUGUACAUAUGCCAGCCGCCUGAGACAGCUCAGAUUCAAGCUGUGUUAGGGAAAUUUUACGAUCUGCUGCUAUUGUGUGGCACUCCUUUUACUCAAUUUCCCAACUGACCAGGGUUCUAGCUCCCAAGCUCUCUGAAGGGUUGUGCCUACAAAAAUAGUGUUAUUGCACAAGGUGAAUGUGAAAAGGAAAAAUAAAGUAAGUCAUCUGGAGUACUCUGAUAAGGAACAGCUGCGUUGAUUGAACCUGCGUUUCCUAGGGAGGAGGAACUCUUUGGGAACUGCCAUAAACUUCAGACUACAAGGGCACUCUAUCUGGGGUUACUGUUAAAAAAUUUGAAUAAAUGGGUCCACUACAGUAGUUCUACCUUUGCUUGAACACUUUUGUCCAUGGCAGAUGCCCACAAGUUAGCCCAUUCAUUCAGUCUAAUGAAGAGUCUAAUAAAAACAUGUCUCUCAUCCAAAACUGAAAUCUGAAUGGAUCACCUCUCUAAUUCUAAUUAUCCUAUAUCUAGUAACAUAGAAUUAGCUUUUUCCACAGCAACAUUGCACAGUUAUAUUAUAUUAAGCUUA